rnacentral:rRNA from 1 species
CGGAGGCACCUGCACAGGUGCUGCAUGGCUGUCGUCAGCUCGUGUCGUGAGAUGUUGGUUAAGUCCCGCAACGAGCGCAACCCUUUAUCCCCAGUUGCCAUCAGGUAAAGCUGGGAACUCUGGGGAGACUGCCGGUGAUAACCGGAGGAAGGCGGGGAUGACGUCAAGUCCUCAUGGCCCUUACAUCCCGGGCUACACACGUGCUACAAUGGCAGGUACAGAGGGCUGCGAAGCCGCGAGGUGGAGCGAAUCCCAGAAAACCUGUCUCAGUCCGGAUUGAAGUCUGCAACUCGACUUCAUGAAGGCGGAAUCGCUAGUAACCGCGAAUCAGCAGGUCGCGGUGAAUACGUUCCCGGGCCUU